rnacentral:lncRNA from 1 species
UUUCGUAUGUCGAUUACUAGGAUCAAUUAUUGAAUUUGUUAAAUUAUUAAAAAAUAAUCGUAUUUAUCUAAAUGUUUAAGAUAAUGGAGAACGACAAUUUUAUAUUUUUAUAUUUACUACUCACCCUCACAUAUAUGUUCGAAUUCUGUGUUGAUACCAUAUUAAAUUACAUAAAACAAUCGUUUUUUUUUUAAGUUUAAGCUAUUGGAGGACGACAAUUUUAUAUUUUUAUAUUCAACAUUCAUCCUCACAUUUGUGUUCGAAACUCUUGCUCUGAUAUCACAUUAAAUUAUAUGAAACAAUCGUAUUUCUCUAACAGCUUAAAUUACCGGAGAACAGUUUUUUUAUGUGUUUUUAUUUAUCAGAAUUAAAGCCUAAUUUAUUCCAAAAAAUAACAAUGAAAGUGGCUAUAUUAACAAACAAACAUUUCCCGUGUUUGUGAGUGAAUUUACUUUACAAAUUGAAAUUAUUUUUCAAACCAAUUAAAACCCCAACAAUUCAGCCCAUCAAUGUUAAUACUUUGUUGAACUUAAACUAUUAGUUCAAAAAAAAAAAAUUGAAAGAAAGAUAGUAUGUUAUCUGUUUCAUUUAUUUUUUUAAAAAUAAAUUUAGCUGAAAAUGUGAAGCAAUAAGACUUCAAACUUAAGACCUCGAGUACCAAUCAUAAAGUACUUUGCCAUUUGCACUAGAAACGAUUAAUUAGUAUUAGUUCAAAAUACUUACUUUCAGUUAUUGAAACCUAUUAGGGUGGUCCAAUCACACAUAUAAUUUAAGAUUACUAGAAAUAUUACGAUCCAAAAUUUCAACGAACAAUCUAAUUUAAUUUUAAUACUAAAUAUAACGAUCCAAUCCCCUAAUAUUAAUAAUUUAAACCUAAUUAUUUAAAUGUAAUUGUUAGUACCAAUAUACUAAUUACAUAAA